UGGCCCUUGGGUAGGAGCCCCCCACUACCACCCCCGGCAAGACCAGAAAGAAGCCUGGGUGUUGGGGGGAGGAGUUCAGAGAACCAAGCUCUGCGCAGACUCAGCGGGAGGAUUUGGAAUCGGAGCUGGAGUGUGGGGACGCCGGACAGAUGCCAGGGGAUCUACGUACCCAGGAGAAGGGCCCAGAACGAGCAGAUUUGAACUGAGACCAGUUGCUCUGCCUGUGGGUAUGAUGCUUCGGACAGCACCUGGCUCUGAGGACAGAGGCCCUGGACCCAAGCCACGCGGGCCCACCUUCUCCUGAAGAUCUGGGCUAACUGGGAAGCAAAAAUAAUUACUCUUGUGCCAAAAUGUCCUUGUAAUUAGCAGUUCUGGGAGAUAAAUGAAUUGAAAUAUGUGAUUUUUCAGGGUCCAGCCGGC
rnacentral:lncRNA from 1 species